rnacentral:tRNA from 1 species
UAGAUGAAUGCUCGCUGGUUAGGGCGCUUAGCUGUUAACUAAGAAUUUGUAGGAUCGAGGCCUACUCAUCUAG